rnacentral:tRNA from 1 species
UGGGGCGUAGCCAAGCGGUUAAGGCACCGGACUUUGACUCCGGCAUCGAUGGUUCGAGUCCAUCCGCCCCAGCCA